CGUACGGGUGCGGAACACGUGUGCAACCUGCCUUUAUCUGGGGGAUAGCCUUUCGAAAGGAAGAUUAAUACCCCAUAAUAUGUUGAAUGGCAUCAUUCGACAUUGAAAACUCCGGUGGAUGGAGAUGGGCACGCGCAAGAUUAGAUAGUUGGUGAGGUAACGGCUCACCAAGUCUACGAUCUUUAGGGGGCCUGAGAGGGUGAUCCCCCAACUGGUACUGAGACACGGACCAGACUCCUACGGGAGGCAGCAGUGAGGAAUAUUGGACAAUGGGUGAGAGCCUGAUCCAGCCAUCCCGCGUGAAGGACGACUGCCUAUGGGUUGUAAAACUUCUUUGUAUAGGGAUAAACCUACCUCGUGAGGGUAGCUGAAGGUACUAUACGAAUAAGCACCGGCUAACUCCGUGCCAGCAGCCGCGGUAAUACGGAGGGUGCAAGCGUUAUCCGGAUUUAUUGGGUUUAAAGGGUCCGUANGCGGAUCUGUAAGUCAGUGGUGAAAUCUCACAGCUUAAACUGUGAAACUGCAUUGAUACUGCAGGUACUUGAGUGUAGUGAAGUAGCUGGAAUAAGUAGUGUAACGGUGAAAAUGCAUAGAUUUAAC
rnacentral:rRNA from 1 species